GACGAACGCUGGCGGCGUGCCUAACACAUGCAAGUCGAACGGGGUGUUGAGAGCUUGCUCUUAACACUUAGUGGCGAACGGGUGAGUAACGCGUGAGAAACCUGCCUUUCAGUGGGGGACAACAGUUGGAAACGACUGCUAAUACCGCAUAACGCAUUUAGGGGGCAUCCCUUGAAUGCCAAAGCUUUAUGUGCUGAAAGAUGGUCUCGCGUCUGAUUAGCUAGAUGGCGGGGUAACGGCCCACCAUGGCGACGAUCAGUAGCCGGUCUGAGAAGAUGAACGGCCACAUUGGGACUGGGAUACGGCCCAGACUCCUACGGGAGGCAGCAGGGGGGAAUAUUGGGCAAUGGGGGAAACCCUGACCCAGCAACGCCGCGUGAAGGAAGAAGGCCUUCGGGUUGUAAACUUCUUUUAGCAGGGACGAAUACGUGACGGUACCUGCAGAAAAAGCAACGGCUAACCACGUGCCAGCAGCCGCCGUAACAC
rnacentral:rRNA from 1 species